rnacentral:misc_RNA from 1 species
UAACUGCGUGCAGACGUGUGAACUGCAGGACACAUGAACACCGACGUUUUGAACGCAAAUGGCGGCUUGAAAUAAAUUUCAAGCCACGUCUGGCUGAGGGUCGGAUAUAAUAUCAAAAUGAAAAAUGCUCAGUAAUUUAACUCUGUAUGAGUUUCAGACUGAGUUUGAUCGUCAAGUUCUGUGGAGCUUGAUUAGAAUAAAGCAUGCAAUGGUUUGCCAAGUUUGGUCUAAAUGUAAUAGAGCAAGCAGCAAAUUCAUGUAAAAUUACUAAAGAAUUUGUGGUAAGGCAGCUGGCAAUGCUUAGAAAGAAACUUUGUUCUUCGGAGCAAUUCUUUUCAAAGAUACGACCUCAGAGUAGGCGAGAUUACCCGCUAAAUUUAA